GCAAUCAGAACUGUUUGUGAUUAUAUGAAUCUCCACUUCAAUGGAUACACAUAAGUUCCUGUCACAAUGACAGCAAGUUUUCUAAGGAUUCUUCUCCUAGCUCUGUCCUUCGUUGCUUUAAUGCCACAGAAAUCAGAGGGUCAAUUGGGCCUGUGGAAAGGGAGGUGCAGAUUGCAGGAAGAUACAAAGGAACCAACCCUGUUAUCUGCCAAGCACAGCAAGGGAUCAUGCCUCCUAUGCCUUCAAGAACUAUUACCAGAAGUUUAAGCAUGAAGGAGCAACUUGUUACUUCAAUGCUGCUGCUCUCAUCACUGAUCUUGAUCCAAAGAUAGAGUUGUACUGUCGUUGCUUGUUGCAUUCGAGUCACGUCCCACAUUGAUCUUCUUGUAGCUGAGGAAAGCAAUGUUGGUGUCACCUUCUUUGAAUCACCCAGUGAUGCUCGUCACAAGACAAGAUAUUUAUUCAGACAGGAUUUGACGCUUCUUAGAUUACAAGUAAUUAUUUUUUUGGUUUUUUUAAUGAUAUUUUUUAAUGAAUUAAAUAGCAUUGACUGUAUUCUAUUUCCUUCCUUCCAUUUUCAUUUCCAUAUAUAGUGAAAAAGCACUAAUUGUAUGGUAUGAUUGUAGUUAUUUUUAAAGUAUUUUUAACUUAAAAAAUAUAUUAAUAAUAU